GACAGAGGGGGCAAGCGUUGCUCGGAAUUACUGGGCGUAAAGGGCGCGUAGGCGGGAUGGUAAGUCGGUCGUGAAAUCCCUCGGCUCAACCGAGGAACGUCGAUCGAUACUACCGUUCUUGAGGAUUGCAGAGGAGACUGGAAUUCCCGGUGUAGCGGUGAAAUGUGUAGAGAUCGGGAGGAACACCGGUGGCGAAGGCGGGUCUCUGGGCAAUUCCUGACGCUGAGACGCGAAAGCGUGGGGAGCGAACAGG
rnacentral:rRNA from 1 species